GGCUUUGGCAGGCCAUAUAGUAAAAUUGGAAUGAUACAGAGAAGAUUGGCAUGGCCCCUGUGCAAGGAUGACAUGCAAAUUUGUGAAGUGUUCCAUAAAAAA
rnacentral:snRNA from 1 species